GAGGGUAUAGCUCACUGGUAGAGUGCACCCCUAGCACGUGUGAGGUCCUGGGUUCAAUCCCUGGCACCUCCA
rnacentral:tRNA from 1 species